GCACAAAUUAUGAUUUAAACAAGUUUAAUAAAGUGCAUUUUUAUAAGAAGGAAAAAAAAUUUUCUUAAAUAUUUCAAAAAUAAUUUAAAAAAAUUUCAAAUAAUUAAUAUUAGUCAAGGAUUAAAAUUAAGUAACAAUACAAGGGUAAAAUAAAAAACAAAUUAAAUUCAAUUCUAAUAUCAAUUUCCAAUAUUUAAUUACAAUAAUUGUAGAAUAGGAAAGCAAAGUGGGCAAACAACUUGUAACUAAAAGAAUGUAUGGCAUCAAUCUAUAAUAGCUUUAUAAAUUAAAUAUAAAACUGAAUAAAUAUUAUUAAAAAUUAAUGCCACCGUUUUUAUUGAAAAGUAUACAAUCAUUUGUUUGAAAAACGCAAUAUUGAAUUUUUUUUUGUGUAAUUAAACAUUAUUAUUAAAAAUAAUUAUUUUCCUUUUGGUGCGAAAAAAAUAUUAUUAAAUAAAAUAAAUAUUUUCAUAAAAUUAAAAGUUGAAAUUUUAAUGCAGCAAAAUUUUUCUGAAUAACAUUUUAUCAAUGUUAUUUGUCUCCGCUUCUCGCCGCCCUCUUUUCUUUUUUCUUUUAUUUAAUUUUAUUUAAAAAAUAUUUAAUUUAUUUUAUUCUUUAUAAUUAUUGCCACGAUAGUGAAAUGAUGAUGAAAUAAAAAGUAAUAAUAAAAAAAAAUUGUAAUAGCAUUAAAAAUUUGAAAAAAAAUAAUAAAUAAUAAUUAAAAUAAUUUUUAAGAAAAAUAAAAUUAAAUAAAAUAAAAAUUAUUUAACAAAAAAUAAAUAGUAAAAAUGCUGCUAAUAAUGCAAUUAAAAGAAUCGAUUUUAGUAUAUUUAAUCUGUGAUUUCAUAAUAAUUAGCUCUAUUUUUAUUGCCACUACCGUUGCUAGAAAUCAACAUGGUGGCAGUAAUAGUAGAAGUGGCAGUAGUGGUAGCAGUAGCAGUAUUGUUGGCUCAAACAGUGGUAACAGUGGUAGCGGUGGCAAUAUUUUAGAAAAAGAUAAACAUGGUAAGCAAAGUACAAUUAAAUUAUUCACCUUGAAAAUAUUCAUAGUUUUUACGUACGUAAACGUACAUAGAUAUAUACAAUU